rnacentral:rRNA from 1 species
GAAAGAGCACCUAAUACCGCAUACGACCUGAGGGUGAAAGCGGGGGAUCGCAAGACCUCGCGCGAUUGGAGCGGCCGAUAUCAGAUUAGGUAGUUGGUGAGGUAAAGGCUCACCAAGCCGACGAUCUGUAGCUGGUCUGAGAGGACGACCAGCCACACUGGGACUGAGACACGGCCCAGACUCCUACGGGAGGCAGCAGUGGGGAAUUUUGGACAAUGGGCGCAAGCCUGAUCCAGCCAUGCCGCGUGCGGGAAGAAGGCCUUCGGGUUGUAAACCGCUUUUGUCAGGGAAGAAAAGGUUCUGGCUAAUACCUGGGACUCAUGACGGUACCUGAAGAAUAAGCACCGGCUAACUACGUGCCAGCAGCCGCGGUAAUACGUAGGGUGCAAGCGUUAAUCGGAAUUACUGGGCGUAAAGCGUGCGCAGGCGGUUAUGCAAGACAGAGGUGAAAUCCCCGGGCUCAACCUGGGAACUGCCUUUGUGACUGCAUGGCUAGAGUACGGUAGAGGGGGAUGGAAUUCCGCGUGUAGCAGUGAAAUGCGUAGAUAUGCGGAGGA